GACGAAGGUGGCGAGCGUUACUCGGAAUUACUAGGCGUAAAGCGUGGGCAGGCGGUCCGGUAAGUCUGUUGUGAAAGCUCCCGGCUUAACCGGGAGAGGUCAAUGGAUACUGCCGGACUUGAAUGUGGGAGGGGUGACUGGAAUUCCUGGUGUAGCGGUGAAAUGCGUAGAUAUCAGGAGGAACACCAAUGGCGAAAGCAGGUCACUAGACCACUAUUGACGCUCAUCCACGAAAGCUAGGGGAUCAAACAGG
rnacentral:rRNA from 1 species